rnacentral:rRNA from 1 species
GAUGAACGCUGGCGGCGUGCCUAAUACAUGCAAGUCGAGCGAACAGACGAGGAGCUUGCUCCUCUGACGUUAGCGGCGGACGGGUGAGUAACACGUGGAUAACCUACCUAUAAGACUGGGAUAACUUCGGGAAACCGGAGCUAAUACCGGAUAAUAUAUUGAACCGCAUGGUUCAAUAGUGAAAGACGGUUUUGCUGUCACUUAUAGAUGGAUCCGCGCCGCAUUAGCUAGUUGGUAAGGUAACGGCUUACCAAGGCAACGAUGCGUAGCCGACCUGAGAGGGUGAACCGGCACACCGGGACCGGGGAAACGGCCAAGCUCCUAACGGGAGGAAGCAGUGGGGAACUUUCGGAAAUGGCCGAAAGCCUGACGGGGAAACGCGGCGGGAGGGAUGAAGGCUUCCGGAUCGUAAACUCUUGUUAUAGGGAAAGAAAAAAUGUGAAAGAACCUAUGACGGUUUGGACGGUACCUAAUAAGAAAGCAACGGCUAACUACGU